AACGAACGCUGGCGGCAGGCCUCAAACAUGCAAGUCUAGGGGGUGUAGCAAUACAUCACCGGCGGACGGGUGCGUAACGCGUGGGAAUAUACCUAUCGAUUCGGAACAACUGAGGGAAACUUCAGCUAAUACCGAAUACGUCCUAACGGAGAAAGAUUUAUCGUCGAUAGAUUAGCCCGCGUUCGAUUAGCUAGUUGGUGGGGUAACGGCCCACCAAGGCGACGAUCGAUAGCUGUUCUGAGAGGAAGAUCAGCCACACUGGGACUGAGACACGGCCCAGACUCCUACGGGAGGCAGCAGUUGGGAAUCUUGGACAAUGGGGGGAAACCCUGAUCCAGCCAUGCCGCGUGAGUGAUGAACGGCCGUUCGGUUAGGUUAAAC
rnacentral:rRNA from 1 species